AGAAUCUGGAUGAACUUUUUGG
rnacentral:miRNA from 1 species